UACGCCCACGUUAAACCAAACAGCCUACACAUUUUUAGCCAAAGACUGUUAGGGGAAAACACAGACUUAAAACGCAACUGGAGUAAAGCUGCUUUGUCCACCAAUCGUAAGCUUGCGUUAGUUCAUUUCUGUAGACAACAAAAUUAGUCAUCAGUCAAAUUUGGUCGAUAACAGUGAAUAAGUGGCCCUGCGCACCAUACCCGCACGGGAUACGUAGACCUACAUAUACAACAUCGGCCUGUUGCGCGGGUGUGAGUGAGCAUUAUCAUUUCCUGCGGCAUCUGUGUGAGCACGGCUGAUGUUCUGAAGUCCUCCAUCUGUACGUAUAGGCAGACUGCAUUAUCGAUUUUUUCAGCCCAGUAAAAUUUGCAGUUUGCACUUUCAUCAGUUGCAGAUAAUUGCAUUGAGUGCCGGGUUAGCUCGUAGUAGAAGCGUGGUCACACCAGAGACAUCAAAAUGCCUGAAAUCUCCGUUCCAAAGGUGAAAAGGCCCAGCAAGUGCAAGCUGUGUUUACUGCGAUGUUUCGCUUGCUGCUGUCCGUGCAUGAAGCCGCGGCUACCAGGCCAGAAAAAGAAAUGUUGCUGCUGCUGACACCAGAUACGUGAGAAUGGAUUCUGCCGUAUCGAAUCAUACGGUAAUCAAUCCAGUACUACGAUAACUCAACCACACUAGUAACAGCAACGACCAGGUUUCAACUUCCGAGUGAUGCAAGGACAAAGGAGAAAGUUGCAUGGUGCUGAGAAUUUUAUCGUUCCGUGAUUUAUUGUAUAUUUAAUUUUUAUUUCUUUUUUAGUGUGUCGGCUGUAACAGAAAAACACUGUUUUAUCACUCAUCUUUGGUGCACUUCAGCGAUAUUUGGCCAUGUUCCCACCACAAGUGUCCCAUUGUGCAGUCUAUGCAUUCGGCAGCGUUUCAAAUAAAAGUGUAUGUAUGUAACGGUCGAUUCAUUUCAAACAAUUGAAUAUUGGACCUUCCAUUCGAUCGAAUAUUUGAAAUGUGGUCGUAUUAAAUCGGAACAAAUACGCACACUGAAAAAUACGCCUAUUUGUUUUUUACAACAAACAUGAAGGAAAGAAAUUGCCGUCUAUUUGGGGCAUGCAUUCAGCUAUCUGUAGUUUUACUUGUAUAAUAUCUUGAAAUAUGCUUUUAGAAUGUAAAAUCUUGUAAACCACACUUUACUUGAACCUGUCCUUUUUUAUUUGCACCUCCGAGUACAAUUGACUUUGAAAACAAACAUUUGAAUUUCGGCAAACCAUUGAAUGAAUAUUUGAUCAACCAUCGACUAUGCAAAUAAUCGAUACAGCUCUAUGUGUGAUAGGUGAAAUUAUAAGUAUAGCUUGACGAUAUUAUUAAAUUGUAGCCCAUUGUGUAAUUGAUUUUAGAAAUUGUUACUGAGGAAUAGUGAUAAACGUGAUAAGUAGAUAGGUUUAACUUUAUGCAAUCAAUCCUUUCAACACUUUCUUUCCUUGCGAGGGAACAAACAUUGCUCAGGAUAUCAUUUUUAAUACAUGUUUUAAAUUCUUUUUUAUUUUAUCUUUUGGCUGUGUCGUCUUUUGUGUUGCCAUCAAGUUAUCAAGUGAAGUCAAAUUAAUGCUGUAUCCUUAUGCUUUACGAGGAAUUAAAUACCGGAAGUGUGAAUGAAACAACUCACAUAAUUAACCGGUUCUUGUUGCAUCAUCA